AUUCAGAAGGCCAGGUCGACGACCGACGGGCCGAAUGUCCGCCGGAAAGAGCUGGACAGAUUCCCACAAUUGCCCCGAGGCGCCUUCCAUUCGGACUCAUUCACCGUGGUCGCUUUUGGACCUUGAGUUUCAUCUGGAAAGGGGGCAUCAAUGUGGUGUGGAGAGGAAGCGGGAACACGGCGUUGAGGUAGAGGAUCGGCCAUGAUCGUACUGAAAGGUGGAGCAGGCUCGAGGGGCCGAAUGGCCUGCUCCUUAGUCUGUACGACCCCCGAAACCACUGUCGAUUGUUGUAAAAAAAACCCAUCCGGUUCACCCAUGUCCCUUUUUAGGGGAGGGAAACCCGCCGUCCUUACCUGGUGUGACCCACACGUGACUCCAGGCCCACAGCCAUGUGGUCGACUCUUAACAGCCCUAAUAAUCGAGAGCGAGUCCG